UACGUAGGGUCCGAGCGUUGUCCGGAAUUAUUGGGCGUAAAGGGCUCGUAGGCGGUUGGUCACGUCGGGAGUGAAAACUCAGGGCUCAACCCUGAGCGUGCUUCCGAUACGGGCCGACUAGAGGUAUGCAGGGGAGAACGGAAUUCCUGGUGUAGCGGUGGAAUGCGCAGAUAUCAGGAGGAACACCGGUGGCGAAGGCGGUUCUCUGGGCAUUACCUGACGCUGAGGAGCGAAAGCAUGGGGAGCGAAUAGG
rnacentral:rRNA from 1 species